rnacentral:tRNA from 1 species
GAACCGGUAGCUCAGUUGGUAGAGCAACAGACUUUUAAUCUGUGGGUCCAGGGUUCGAUUCCCUGCCGGUUCA